UAAAAUAAAAUUUUUUGUUCUAGGCCGGAACUCUAGAUGGCGUUCAUGUGCGUCUGGGAUGAAGAUUACGAGUGAAAAGUUAUAGGUGUUGGUUACGUUACGCUGUUUUGUGUUUCAAAGGAUUUUUCGUCAAAAUAUUUAAGAUAUGUCAGCUACUGAACCAGCAGCCUGCAUUCCUGCUAUCAAUGUAUCACAAGGGAUCCUGACAAUUAAAGAAAGCUACUCUUCCUUACAGGAAGAUCACCAUCCAUUGCAAAGUCUUCAUCUACUUUGUGUUGCUAACCAUAAAGCCUCGCUUACACUAGAGGGUUUUUUAAGCUUUUAAGCUUUUAAUUUUAAGAAGUUAAGGUAUUAUUAUAAGAUAUUAUAUAUGUAAUGCUAUUUAUUAUAAGAUAUUAUUUAAGUAUAUUAUAUUAUUAAAAGAUUAAGGAACUAAAAGCUUAAGAAAAACCUCUAGUGUAUGCGAGGCUUAAGCCCUCAGCAUCCCGGGUAUCAUGAUUUCCAAGCUUUGAUUAGCCAACCAUCAUCCAUACACUUCAGCUAUUCAGUGGGGCCUAUUUUCCUCUCUUCUUAGUCUGCCAAAUGCCAACAUAGAAUAAGGUUCAUCUUCAUUGCCUUACCAUGGAAAAUUGUCAUUGUUAAUCCUCCCGUUCUUCUCACUGUUACUUGGCCAGCAAACAUGGAUAGGCUUUAACACCAUCUCCAUUUUUUGGACUGCAAAUAUUCAUCUUCCUUCGGUAUAACACUGCCGUUUCGACAAUUUCGGUAGUUUCGCCCUCAGUGGACAUAUUCUGCUACUAGUGAUCCUUAAUACCGUAAUUCUUAUUUAUUAUUCAGUUCAUGGAAAUCAAAGUACAAGAGAUGCUGACAAUAGAGCUUAUUGGCUCAUGGUCUUGUGUUACAGUAUAUGGUGAUGCACCUCAUCAGACAAGUGCAGGAUAUUCAUCUCUAGUGUCAACAAUUGACCAUUACCUUAUCAGUAGCUUUCUUCUCAUGCCAAUUAUCCAGCUAACAUGCAUUGGCGUAAACACCAUCAUCUCAUUUGAACUGGAAGUUUUAAUAUUCCUUCUCUUCAAAAUUGCCGUCUCGACCAAUUGCUUCAAUUUCGCCCUCAGUUGACCACAAGCAACUACCCUAUCUUCCUCUUCACUCCGGUAAUAAUCAACCAUCUGGACACUGACCUGCUGUCUUCUUCCUUCGCCUUCGCCUCAUCGCUCUGUCUUCGCCGUAUCACUGUCUUCGUCUACGUCUUCACCGCAUCGCUGUCUUCGUCUUCGCCGCAUCACUGUCUUUGUCUACGCCUUUGAGUUAUCACCAUCCUCGAGCCAUCUAUCCUAAAUGGAAAACGGGUGCAGCUCAGCAGCAAGCCCAAGGCGAUGGAGGAAAUUCAACGAGGAACGUCGUGCUGUGGUAUUGCUUUGUUUUGUUUUGUAUUGUCUAGUCAUUUGUAUAGAAUUAGUUAACCCGUUGGCUGCCACCCCGUUUGAGUCCCAUUUUUUUUUUAGCUUGUAGGGACCGGGCGCUGUUCUGCCCCAUGGCCAUGGGGGGAACAGUCGCCGCGCCUAAAGGCUUUGUGCCUUUAGGCGCCGUAGGCAAUGCACCAGUAGGGACUCUCUUUGUCGGUGCGGUGAUAGAUUCCUGGGGUGUGCAUUCCCGGAAUGGAAUCUAUUACCGUGUCAGCCCGGACUUGUCUUCGGACAAGUCCCCCUUUGUUCGUGGAUCCAUCUGACGCGAAGCGUAGCAAAUGUAGUGAAGCAAUCUACGGGUUGCAUGGCCUGGCAGCCAACGGGUUAACUUAGUUAAAUGUGUAUAUAUGUAUGUAUUGUAUUUACGUAUAUGUAUUUUAUACUUAUGUGUUAUGUAUUUUGU
rnacentral:lncRNA from 1 species